AAGGGAUAAUCCUCUAUAUGAAGAUUCUGACAACUUGCAGAGGCUGCAAGAUAAACCUCCUCUCUUGUACAAGCUCUCCAAGCUCUCCCUUUUGUCGUUGAUUUUUUGCUGCUUAAUCUUUCCCAAGCUGCUGCCCUGUGAUGAUCUUUUUUGCACUUGGACACCUUGAGAACUUACGGCUGGACCCUUCUAUUGGAGGGAGAAUAAUAAUACGGUAUAUUCAAAAAAAUUGGAACCGUUAAACCAAAACUGUGCUUAUUAUGUUGCUUUAUUUCCCCAAAUUAGGUUUUUGCUUUGGUUUAUUUCUGUUUUUAUUUAGUUGAUGGGAACUUGUAUUAUUACAGUCUUUGCAAAUUAAUUUGUCUCCAAGGUAAAUUCUUAAUAUUCUUGAUUACUAAGAUUGGAUCUCCAAGGUAACUUCUUAAUAUUCUUGAUUACUAAGAUUGGAUCUCCAAGGUAAC
rnacentral:misc_RNA from 1 species